CCAUGAGUAAAGUGGCGACCGGGUGAGUAACACGUGACUAACCUACCUUUUAGUGGGGGAUAACCUCGGGAAACCGAGGCUAAUACCGCAUAACAUCGCAAGAUCAAAGCAGCAAUGCGCUGGAAGAGGGGGUCGCGGCUGAUUAGCUAGUUGGCGGGGUAACGGCCCACCAAGGCGAAGAUCGGUAGCCGGCCUGAGAGGGCGCACGGCCACACUGGAACUGAGACACGGUCCAG
rnacentral:rRNA from 1 species